rnacentral:rRNA from 1 species
CAACUUUCAACAACGGAUCUCUUGGCUCUCGCAUCGAUGAAGAACGCAGCGAAAUGCGAUAAGUAAUGUGAAUUGCAGAAUUCAGUGAAUCAUCGAAUUUUUGAACGCACCUUGCGCUCCUUGGUAUUCCGAGGAGCAUGCCUGUUUGAGUGUCAUGA